rnacentral:rRNA from 1 species
GACGAACGCUGGCGGCGUGCUUAACACAUGCAAGUCGAACGGUAAGGCCCUGCUUUUGUGGUGUGCUCGAGUGGAACACGGGAGUGUCACACGUGAAUCCCCUGCCUAUGACUUUGGUAUAACUUCAGGACUCUGGGGAUAACACCGGAUAGGAGUCCCCGCCGCGUGGUGGGGUGUGGAAAGUUUACGGGGUUGGGGGUGGACUCGCGGCUUAUCCGCUUGUUGGUGGGGUAGGGGCUUACCAAGGGCUUGACGGGUCCCCGGUCGGAGGGGGUGACCGGCCACAUUGGGACGGGGAUACGGCCCAGACUCCUACGGGAGGCAGCAGUGGGAAUUAUUGAACAAGGGGCGGAAGCCGAAGGCAGCAACGCCGCGGGCGGGAGGACGGCCUUCGGUUUGUAAACCGCUUUCGCCGGGAACGAGGCGUGGGUGAGGUUAAUGGGUAAGGAAGCACCGGCUAACUACGU